UGAGGAAUAUUGGUCAAUGGGCGCAAGCCUGAACCAGCCAUGCCGCGUGCAGGAUGACGGUCCUAUGGAUUGUAAACUGCUUUUGUACGAGAAGAAACAACAUUACGUGUAAUGUUUUGACGGUAUCGUAAGAAUAAGGAUCGGCUAACUCCGUGCCAGCAGCCGCGGUAAUACGGAGGAUCCAAGCGUUAUCCGGAAUCAUUGGGUUUAAAGGGUCCGUAGGCGGUUUAGUAAGUCAGUGGUGAAAGCCCAUCGCUCAACGGUGGAACGGCCAUUGAUACUGCUGAACUUGAAUUAUUAGGAAGUAACUAGAAUAUGUAGUGUAGCGGUGAAAUGCUUAGAGAUUACAUGGAAUACCAAUUGCGAAGGCAGGUUACUACUAAUGGAUUGACGCUGAUGGACGAAAGCGUGGGUAGCGAACAGGAUUAGAUACCCUGGUAGUCCACGCCGUAAACGAUGGAUACUAGCUGUUGGGAGCAAUUUCAGUGG
rnacentral:rRNA from 1 species